ACGAACGCUGGCGGCGUGCUUAACACAUGCCAGUCGAACGGAAAGGCCCUGCUUUUGUGGGGUGCUCGAGUGGCGAACGGGUGAGUAACACGUGAGUAACCUGCCCUUGACUUUGGGAUAACUUCAGGAAACUGGGGCUAAUACCGGAUAGGAGCUCCUGCUGCAUGGUGGGGGUUGGAAAGUUUCGGCGGUUGGGGAUGGACUCGCGGCUUAUCAGCUUGUUGGUGGGGUAGUGGCUUACCAAGGCUUUGACGGGUAGCCGGCCUGAGAGGGUGACCGGCCACAUUGGGACUGAGAUACUGCCCAGACUCCUACGGGAGGCAGCAGUGGGGAAUAUUGCACAAUGGGCGGAAGCCUGAUGCAGCAACGCCGCGUGCGGGAUGACGGCCUUCGGGUUGUAAACCGCUUUCGCCUGUGACGAAGCGUGAGUGACGGUAAUGGGUAAAGAAGCACCGGCUAACUACGUG
rnacentral:rRNA from 1 species